rnacentral:rRNA from 1 species
GAAGUGCGUAAGUACUGCGGAAGACAUUG